CGCAGAGAGUUCCAGAGACCCAAAGAGAAGCAGAAAACAAUGGGAAAAUAAAUGCAAAAAGAAGUAGAGAAGAAUCGAGAAACAUGAGGAAAAAGAGAGAGAAAAGAGGGGGAGAGAAACAAUAACUAGAAUUGCAAAUAAACAGGAAAGGAGCAGCAACAUCGACGUGAACAAGGUCGAAUUAUGCUUCUCGCUUGGGGUUGAUUCUUGACUGCAACAAGGAAAUAUCGAGGUCAGGACACUUGGUGAUGGAAUUAUUCCUGUGGAAAUUCGUCAUUUUUAGC